AUACGGAGGAUCCGAGCGUUAUCCGGAUUUAUUGGGUUUAAAGGGAGCGUAGGUGGACAGUUAAGUCAGUUGUGAAAGUUUGCGGCUCAACCGUAAAAUUGCAGUUGAUACUGGUUGUCUUGAGUACAGUAGAGGUGGGCGGAAUUCGUGGUGUAGCGGUGAAAUGCUUAGAUAUCACGAAGAACUCCGAUCGCGAAGGCAGCUCACCGGGCCGGAACUGACACUGAUGCUCGAAAGUGCGGGUAUCAAACAGGAUUAGAUACCCUGGUAGUCCGCACAGUAAACGAUGAAUACUCGCUGUUUGCGAUACACUGUAAGCGGCCAAGCGAAAGCGUUAAGUAUUCCACCUGGGGAGUACGCCGGCAACGGUGAAACUUAAAUGAAUUGGCGGGG
rnacentral:rRNA from 1 species